UACAGAGGGUGCGAGCGUUGUUCGGAAUUAUUGGGCGUAAAGGGCGCGUAGGCGGUGCCACAAGUCACUUGUGAAAUCUCCGGGCUUAACUCGGAGCCUGCAGGCGAAACUGUGGUGCUGGAGUGUGGGAGAGGUGCGUGGAAUUCCCGGUGUAGCGGUGAAAUGCGUAGAUAUCGGGAAGAACACCCGUGGCGAAGGCGGCACUCUGGGACGGUACUGACGCUGAGACGCGAAAGCGUGGGGAGCGAACAGG
rnacentral:rRNA from 1 species